UUCUAGCCCUGAUGGAAGAUCGCCCCGCGGCGGAUAAAAGAUACAGCGGACAGCAGGAACAGCU
rnacentral:misc_RNA from 1 species